CGGCAAGCAUGCCAUACCUGUACUGUCUCCAUCCGUCGCAAGCCUUUGACUCUUCACGGCUGGGUACUUAAUAUACAGAACUGAACUAGCAUGGGGCGCUGGCGUGAGACCCAGUCCCUGCCCUGAGGAUUUCCAAACAUCGGAGGGCAAACACAGGACAAGGUCUGGCUCACCUUCAUGCAACAGAGCACCUGAAACUUGAGUGAGGGCCACCGUGAGCGCAGCUGGAUAGCGUGUGGAGCUUUUUUGGAACAAAUGCAGCAUUGGGUUAAAGGUGCUUUGUGGAGGCAAAGUCGCACCUGAGGCCUGGACAACUGCUUCUGGGCAACUGCCUGUGCCAAGUGAGGGAGUCGGGAAGACGUGACAAAGCAUUAUUUAGGUGAGGACGAAACCGAGAGCGGAGUUCCGGAGAUAAGGAGCAGGUUUGAGGAGCAAGUGGUAAGCACGCCCCCUAGCGGCUUCUGUGAGAUUCCCUCUCCUCUAGCCAUGGCAGCCUGGUUAAUUAAUAGAGAAGGUGUUUUGCCUGCCAUCCACACUGAUCUCCACCACUUCCUGACGGGCUGCUCACUUCAGACCAACACUCGCUAGGCACUCGCCUUGUUGAUUACUCUCCUAGGAAUUGGGAUAGCCUUCGAGCCGUCAAUCAUCCCAACCCUGCCGGUGCUUUAUAAAGAAUCAAGGGGAGAACAUGUCUAUUUUGAGUCUCAAAGAGAAUAGGGGAGAAUAGGGGGUGAGGUGAGAAAACCCCGUGCCUGUGGAAUGGAACAAAAGGGAUGGACCCCACCCCACCAUGUACUCAACCUCCGCUGAGUAACUGCCAUUAUCUGAGGUCACCGAAGGAACACGACAUGCUGGAGACGGAGCUGACUCAGACGCCACCUGUGACUCCAGGAGCUCCCGGCCUAGCAAGGAGACAGCACACACUACAAAGCGGCAUCCUCCAGUGUUGGACUGUGAAGAGUGGAAGGACAGACAGCCGUGGGAGGCAGAGCUGCAGCCUCUAGCUUCUGACGCCACUCCGGGUCCUAGCAUCAUCGGAUGGGGACGGGCAGCUUUGAACAGGACACAAAACACCAACUUUCUCUGGCUCCUGGGCAAGCAGGUCCUUCUAUGUACAGUAUUCCGGGCUCAAGGCUGCUCUGCUCCUCCCAGACUCUUGGGCCUUCUCCAGAACUGGCCUGAGUGCAGCUGAGACUCCUCCAAGAGGCUCAGAGAGCUGGCUUCUGAGACAGACAGAAAUAGCCCAGGAUGGCUAUGACCACUAUGAUGCAGAUGACCAGGAGGACAGCAAUGGCCACCUCCACAGAGCCUGCGAGAAAACGGGCAGAAUGAGGUGCUCCCUGGGCCUGUCUGGUUCGGACACCCACCACCCUCUUCAUGGAACAGAAAAAGACCACGGAUGUCACGAGUAGAAGCAGAUGGACACCCAAAGCAGACCUCCUGAAUAGCUGUUUCCAGAAGCCCAGGGGACUCUAAUGGCAGACAACUGGCAGGCAAUUCACUGUUCCGCCCCCCCGUUACCUAUGUCAGAGCUCACUACUCAACGGUGCACACUUGGGGUAACCCCAGGAUCCUUCUCAACGUGACUCAGGCAUUCACAAGCAGUCACAGGCUGUCAGUUCCUGAGCUGACACCUGGGUACCCACGCCGGUGACACGACAGACCAAGGCUUACCUCCGCUGGGAACGGAGCUUUCCCUCCGGAGACCAAACACAUCCUUCUCUGCAAAGCGACACGGAGAACCGGUCAGCACUAAGUCCUUCGACUCGGCUGUCUGAGUGCCACAGCCCCUCUGUCCCCCCUCCCACUGCCAUCGAAGUCACUUAGCAGAGAAGUGACUGACCC